AACGGCGAGUGAAGCGGCAACAGCUCAAAUUUGAAAUCUGGGUCUUUCAGGCUCCGAGUUGUAAUUUGUAGAAGAUGCUUCGGGUGUGGCUCCGGUCUAAGUUCCUUGGAACAGGACGUCAUAGAGGGUGAGAAUCCCGUAUGUGACUGGUUGCCUUCGCCCAUGUGAAGCUCUUUCGACGAGUCGAGUUGUUUGGGAAUGCAGCUCAAAAUGGGUGGUAAAUUUCAUCUAAAGCUAAAUAUUGGCCAGAGACCGAUAGCGCACAAGUAGAGUGAUCGAAAGAUGAAAAGCACUUUGGAAAGAGAGUUAAACAGUACGUGAAAUUGUUGAAAGGGAAGCGCUUGCAACCAGACUUGCACGCUGCUGAUCAUCCGGGGUUCUCCCCGGUGCACUCGGUGGUGUUCAGGCCAGCAUCGGUUUGGGUGGUUGGAUAAAGGCCUUGGGAAUGUAGCUUCUUUCGGGGAGUGUUAUAGCCCUCGGUGCAAUGCAGCCUACCCGGACCGAGGACCGCGCUUCGGCUAGGAUGCUGGCGUAAUGGUUGUAAGCGACCCGUCUU
rnacentral:rRNA from 1 species